UACGGAGGGUGCAAGCGUUAUCCGGAUUUACUGGGUUUAAAGGGUGCGUAGGCGGGCCCUUAAGUCAGUGGUGAAAGCUCCGAGCUUAACUCGGAAACUGCCAUUGAUACUAUAGGUCUUGAAUUCGGUCGAGGUUGGCGGAAUGUGUCGUGUAGCGGUGAAAUGCUUAGAUAUGACACAGAACACCGAUUGCGAUGGCAGCUAGCUAGACCGACAUUGACGCUGAGGCACGAAAGCGUGGGGAUCAAACAGG
rnacentral:rRNA from 1 species